GUUCCUGUAGUUGAAUACAACGGUGGUUUUUCAAAUCAUUGGCCCUGGCUAAAGCCCUGGUGGGAAUC
rnacentral:tRNA from 2 species